ensembl:lncRNA
CAAAAAAGCAGGAAUUACUGUUACUGACCCUGCUGCUNUUGAACAGCCUGGCUUUUUUGCCANGAAACAGAGGGGGACGCUAUAGAAGCAUUCAUCUGGCCACUGAACUGUGCUUAUUAUCGCGCUCUGAAGGUUUUUGGUUUCAGAGAGCAUGGAAUGAGAUCAGAUCUGAGAAAUUAGGGAGAAAGUCAGCUCCUUCUCCCCACUCCACAUGCUAUUGCUUCAAUUAAAUAUGGAUUCUUCCAAAAAUGCUAGGGAUACCACUGCCAGAGCACAACUGCAUUUUCCUGCAUUGUAAUGCUGCUUCUUUUUUUUUUUUUUAAUGCAAGGCACGUAAAAAAAAACCUUCUGCAGUAGGUGGAGAAUAAUGGAACAUCCUGAGGCUCUUGAGAGUUGAAGCACAGUAAACCAUGUGAAAGAAUAACAGAAAACACCUCUUAGUGCUGUGCAGGUGAACNGUGAACUACACUAUUUGUCUGAAAUUAGAUGUUGUGCCAGCACAGCACCAGGGCACAAAAGCUCACUAGUUGUUAGGAGACACUAAGAAUUCAGUCCUGGGUGGCAGCUGUGUGACUCCCUAACCCUGGCACAGAACUGAGGUAGGCAGGCAAGCAAGCAAGCAUUCUUAUUCAAGGAAUUGUAUUUCUUGCUUUGUGGAAGAUGGCGUCUCUUAUGGUCCUUAGCUGUCCUUUACUGCUCAUAUUAUUUAUGUAUCGUAUUGAUGCAGCAUCCAUGUCUGAAUUCAGGGUACGUCCAUUUGACAAUAUUUCUCUGCCCUGCCAUUUCUCCUUUAUCGACAGCACGGAAGGUUUAACAUUCACGUGGGAAAGGGAAGAUAUCAAGGAAGAACACGAAGUGGAAGAUAAAGAAUUUUACAAAUAUUUUGUUGGACUCCAAGAUUUUUACCAGUUUUACCCAAAACUGAUAUACAGCUUUGCUGACAAUCAAGAACAACUGGAAGAGCGCAAUUCGUUGUAUGAGGGAAGAGUUUGGGUAGAUGAGGAGGAGAUACCUGAGGGCAGCUUGACACUCAUCUUGGAGCAAGUACAAUUUUCUGAUGAGGCCUUUUACAUAUGUAAGGCUUAUAAUUCAAACGGCAGGGGACAAAGAAAAAUGAAACUCAUUGUGGAAGGUAAGAACCUUUUCCAAUGACUAAUAUUCUAAAGCUGAAACAGAAGUUACUGUUCAUGAUCAAAAAUGUAUAUCUUUUGAUGUAGAUACAUGGAAAGUAAAAUUUCAUGGUAAUGUGCACAUUUUUAAAAGCUCUAUUUGUUUUAGAAUUCACAGAGCAAUUACUGUCAAGUUGUAAUUAGUUAAUCUCUAAUUGUCUUGUUUUUCUUCUGUAACAAUAAGAUGCUGAAGAGCCACAGGUGCUGUUUGACACUGUCAAUGAUACAGCUGUGGCCAAGUGCAUCUCAACAGGCUGGUACCAUAUGCCAAAAGUAACUUGGCGCAACCGCAAGGAAGAAGAUAUAUCCAGUUAUGCUACAACAGAAAUCCUGGAAGAGAAGGAAGAUGGAUCUCACAGAGUGGUGUCCAUCUUGAAAUAUCCUGUAUUGCAGCACGAGACCUACACUUGUCACAUUGAAGAAGAUGAUAUUCUCCACAGACCUGUUAGAUCUAUCCACAAAGUUCCAAGUUAGUGAUCUAUUCCUACAGGGGUUUUUUUUUUACAGUCUUAUAGGAAGGGCUGGUUCUAUCCAAUUAUUCUAAUAUCAAGGAGGAACAGGCUUCAGUCUCAUUCACCCUCUAAAGAUAAAUGAGGGACUUUGGGUUUAAAAGAAAAAACUGUAUUGUCCAAGAAACCUAUUAUAUAUUGGAAAAAACCUCAAAUGAAUGGCUGGAUUUUGAUUUUCUUCUGAACUCCCUUAAUAUGCCACUUCUUAAAUGACACUUGCCUUAUUCAUUCACAGUAUGUUUUAUUGGGAAGACAGCUUCUGAUGUAAGGGUGAGAGCUUUUGAUGUAGGGAACAGAGAUUUUUAAAAUACAUACAAUAAGCAUUUUGUCACUCCCCCUCCCAUAAAUAGCUCUCUAAAAAGUAUGCAUGAAUACUCUUGAGAAGGAUAUGAUUUUACCCCAAAAUGGUAUGACACAGGUGUGGAAUCCAGCAUGUAACAUUAUAAAUGCCUGGUUGCAGAUCUUCUUUGUCCUUGGUGCAUUGUUUUCCUNCAAUAGCAAAUGCCUCUGUCUUCAAGAGGGUCUGUGUACAGCAGACUCCUCUAUAAUAGCAGGUUAUCUGAUACAAGAUUGCAGCAGUCCCAGAAUUAUCUUGGGUUUCACUUGUACAUCUGUGCUGUCCCUUACUGGCACAGGACUGCACAGCAGGGAGGGAAGGACAACAAAAGGUAUUUUCCUCCACUGCAACUCAGCCGCCCCUGUAACAAGUUCUACCCUCUGGACACAUUCUCUUCCAGAGAAGAAGAGAGUACCAUACAGCUCAGUUCAUCUGUCAAAUUAAUUCUCACUGUAACUGGAAGUCACGAUCCAGUUCUCAAAUGGAAUGGAAAGUUAACAAAAAGUCAGUGUGACUUCUCUUUCCUGGAUCCAAAAAAAGUUUAGUGACAUUUGGUUAUAAGGAUGUAAAGAUAUCCAAUAGUUCCAGAAAGAAAAUUACCUCUCUAUUUAAUACAGAUUCGCAACUCAGCUAUAACAAAUAUAUUUAGGAGCUCAGUGGUGCAUGUAAGUAGUUUUUGUGCACUCUCUCAGUUUCAAAGCUAAGCAAAGGUAUCUUUCUCUCCUUCUCUUUUACCCCCUCCUCAAAAGAAUUAGUAGUCCAGGUACCUUUCUACGCUUAUUACAACUACAGUAGCUCUCAAAAUGUUAUGGCACUUGUUAAAGAUUCCUGUUAAUAUACAUUUAGGGAGUGGCUGUAGCACAGUGGUAGAACAAACUGCCUGGAAAGCAGACGGUCACUGAUUCGAUCCCNAGCCUCUUCCUAGAAUUAGGCAAUGGCAAACCACUUCUGUAUCUCUGCCAAGAAAACAGCAUGGAGAUGCCCAUGCAGUCAGCCAGGAGUNAGUCAUGACUCAGUGGUACGCAACAACAAUAUGCAUUUAUUUUUGGCUGGUAAGCUGCUCAAAAAUUAUUGUAUCUACAGUAAAGAGUACUGUCAAGUACCCUUUAUACCCUACUUACAUUAUGAUUAAGUCUAUAAAUGUGUGUCCUUUUUUACAAACCUCAGGAUAUUGGGUUUACAGGUGAAUCUGUAUAUACCUGCCUAAAUUUUUCAUGUCCUUGAGAUAGUAGUUACCAACACUGCUUGACUAUAUUGUUAAGACAACGAGCUGUUCCAAAGUUAAUUUUCUUUCUUCUUUCUAAACUUAGGAUGACUGAUACCUACCUUAGUCAUGUUCAUUAGAGUAGGACUGAAAAUAGUGUUGUGCAAGAAUCCCUUCUACAGGCAAGCUGUAGAAAAGUAGAUUUCUGUGCCCAGGAAACCACACUGAUAAGUAUAUGAGGUCAUGUAAAAUUAAUAGACAGGUUAAUGGACAGCUAGUAAGUAGCUUUUUAUUGAAGUAAAUUGGAAGUAAGCUUCCUUGUACUUAUUUUGGAAUAAAUAAAGGGUUAUAUUAUUUGUCUGCUGCUUU